UAGGGAAUCUUCCACAAUGGACGAAAGUCNGAUGGAGCAACGCCGCGUGAGUGAAGAAGGGUUUCGGCUCGUAAAACUCUGUUGUUAAAGAAGAACAUAUCUGAGAGUAACUGUUCAGGUAUUGACGGUAUUUAACCAGAAAGCCACGGCUAACUACGUGCCAG
rnacentral:rRNA from 1 species